UGCAAGUCGAACGAACUCUGGUAUUGAUUGGUGCUUGCAUCAUGAUUUACAUUUGAGUGAGUGGCGAACUGGUGAGUAACACGUGGGAAACCUGCCCAGAAGCGGGGGAUAACACCUGGAAACAGAUGCUAAUACCGCAUAACAACUUGGACCGCAUGGUCCGAGUUUGAAAGAUGGCUUCGGCUAUCACUUUUGGAUGGUCCCGCGGCGUAUUAGCUAGAUGGUGGGGUAACGGCUCACCAUGGCAAUGAUACGUAGCCGACCUGAGAGGGUAAUCGGCCACAUUGGGACUGAGACACGGCCCAAACUCCUACGGGAGGCAGCAGUAGGGAAUCUUCCACAAUGGACGAAAGUCUGAUGGAGCAACGCCGCGUGAGUGAAGAAGGGUUUCGGCUCGUAAAACUCUGUUGUUAAAGAAGAACAUAUCUGAGAGUAACUGUUCAGGUAUUGACGGUAUUUAACCAGAAAGCCACGGCUAAUUACGUGCCAGCAGCCGCGGUAAUACGUAGGUGGCAAGCGUUGUCCGGAUUUAUUGGGCGUAAAGCGAGCGCAGGCGGUUUUUUAAGUCUGAUGUGAAAGCCUUCGGCUCAACCGAAGAAGUGCAUCGGAAACUGGGAAACUUGAGUGCAGAAGAGGACAGUGGAACUCCAUGUGUAGCGGUGAAAUGCGUAGAUAUAUGGAAGAACACCAGUGGCGAAGGCGGCUGUCUGGUCUGUAACUGACGCUGAGGCUCGAAAGUAUGGGUAGCAAACAGGAUUAGAUACCCUGGUAGUCCAUACCGUAAACGAUGAAUGCUAAGUGUUGGAGGGUUUCCGCCCUUCAGUGCUGCAGCUAACGCAUUAAGCAUUCCGCCUGGGGAGUACGGCCGCAAGGCUGAAACUCAAAGGAAUUGACGGGGGCCCGCACAAGCGGUGGAGCAUGUGGUUUAAUUCGAAGCUACGCGAAGAACCUUACCAGGUCUUGACAUACUAUGCAAAUCUAAGAGAUUAGACGUUCCCUUCGGGGACAUGGAUACAGGUGGUGCAUGGUUGUCGUCAGCUCGUGUCGUGAGAUGUUGGGUUAAGUCCCGCAACGAGCGCAACCCUUAUUAUCAGUUGCCAGCAUUAAGUUGGGCACUCUGGUGAGACUGCCGGUGACAAACCGGAGGAAGGUGGGGAUGACGUCAAAUCAUCAUGCCCCUUAUGACCUGGGCUACACACGUGCUACAAUGGAUGGUACAACGAGUUGCGAACUCGCGAGAGUAAGCUAAUCUCUUAAAGCCAUUCUCAGUUCGGAUUGUAGGCUGCAACUCGCCUACAUGAAGUCGGAAUCGCUAGUAAUCGCGGAUCAGCAUGCCGCGGUGAAUACGUUCCCGGGCCUUGUACACACCGCCCGUCACACCAUGAGAGUUUGUAACACCCAAAGUCGGUGGGGUAACCUUUUAGGAACCAGCCGCCUAAGGUGGGACAGA
rnacentral:rRNA from 2 species